rnacentral:rRNA from 1 species
CCUGGUUGAUCCUGCCAGUAGUCAUAUGCUUGUGUUAAAGAUUAAGCCAUGCAUGCCCAAGUAUAAAUCUAACAUAUGGUGAAACUGCGGACGGCUCCAUAGAUCAGUAAUUGUUCGUUUGGUGAUGCAACCGUACAUGGAUAACCCUGUUAAUUGUAGAGCUAAUACAUGGACAAAAGACCAGCAACGUGCAAUUUUUGCAUGUGCUGGUGGCACUUGUCAACAACAGCCUCGACGCGCGAGCAUCGCGGGAUAGGAAGGGCAGAGGCGGCAGAGAACUGGGCACAGAAAGAAGCGGAGGAAGCGAAGAAACUGACUUUACAAGGCAGAAGACCGCUUUGGAAGUGUCCGGGGAAAACCGAAAAACUCUGCAGGGCGCUGUCCGACUGCCAGAGUCUCGGGAAGAGCCCGCGCGGGAAGCAAACAAGGGGAAGACAUGAAAGAAGGCAAUUCAAAGCGGAUCGUAAGGCCAUGCGCCGACGACGCGCCAUUCGAAUUUCUGACCUAUCAACUCUGAUGGUAGGGUCGUGGCCUACCAUGGUAUAACAGGUAACGGGGAAUCAGGGCUCGAUUCCGGAGAGGGAGCCUGAGAAACGGCUACCACUUCCAAGGAAGGCAGCAGGCGCGUAAAUUACUCCCUGCCGACACGGCGAGGUAGUGACGACAAAUACCGAUGCCAGCCCAAUGGGUUGGUAAUUGGAAUGAGCAGAACAUAAAAACCUUUGCAAGUAACAAUUGGAGGGCAAGUCUGGUGCCAGCAGCCGCGGUAAUUCCAGCUCCAAGAGUGUAUACUAAAGCUGUUGCGGUUAAAACGCUCGUAGUUGAACACCGACAUCCGGAACCAAAGCUGCGGGAGAGCCACUGCCCAUCCCGGGCCGGCGCAAGCCGGAGCGGGGGAGUGGGGGCGCCUGCAGCCCGGAGAAGAACAACGCAAAAAGAGGCCAGCCCGGCCAGGCUGCACUUACUGUGCGGCGGGCAUCACGCCUUCCGGACGGGGAGGCAAUGGGAGGGCCAGAAGAGAAUUUUACCUUGAACAAACUAGAGUGUUCCAAGCAAGCGGCAGCACCGCUGUGAAUACGAUUAGCAUGGGAUAAACAACGAAAAAGAGCCCAGGCCAGAGCGGAGGGGCCACCAUGGGAAUGGGGCGCAGCAGCGCCCGGGCAGGUUCCGAGACAACCCCGAGCACCGAUUUCGUGGAGUCGGUUUGGUGCGAGGUCAGGGCCAGCGGGCAGGGGCGGGGGAGGCAUCCGAAAGGAGGCUGAAGCCGCUGUGUCCGGGGGCGACUGCGGGGGAAGGAGCAGGC